AGGGACAAGUGACGCAAAUGAGUUUGUGAGUUAUUUGCGUCACUUCUUUAAUUAGUGAGCGACGCAAAUAGUUAAUUCACAUCAUUACAUUUAAGUUAUUUGCGUCAAUUCUUUAAUUAUUGAGCGACGUUUAUAAGUAUAGGUUAGUAGUUAAUUCUAAAUUUUCUACCAUCUCGCCAUUUGCUGCUGCCUCCAAAUGCGAUAUACCCACAAAAAAAUACUCUUGCUACCCAUUUGUUGUUGCCUUCAACAACUGAAUUCAACACAGCAACUCGACCAAACCAAAACCUAGAAAAAUAGAAAGAUCGAAGCCAAAAAUUUCCCAUUUUCAAGCACAAAAUCAAACCAAAAUCCCAAGCAAAAUCGAACACUAAAAACACCAUAAAAAUUAAGCAUAACCCCCCCCCCCAUUCGAGCAGACGUUCGUUGUAUAAACUCCCAGCAAAUGCAAACCCUGCAAACCCUAAAAAAGUCAAAAAAUUUCCAGCCAAAACCCCCUAAUUUGAGCAAAAAUUCCAACCUGAACCCCCAGCAAUUUCGAACCCUAAAAACCCUAGAAAAAUUGAUCAUUUCCGAGCCAAAACCCCCAAUUCGAGCAGAAAUUCGAACCUAAAACCCCAAAAAAUAUGAACCCUUGUUUUAUUUAUGAUUUUUGUUGAUUUAAUGGUUGAAUUUUGCCACAAUCCCAGGUUUUUUUUUGUCCUGAUUUUUAGGGUUUUGUGUUAUUUUUAAUUUGGUGCUCUUCAAUUGUUGUUUUCAAUGAAGUUAUUGAUUCAAUCUUUGAAUUUUGCCUCUAAUUUAGGGAUAUGUUCAGCUUUCAAAGGUUAUUGUGAUGUUUUAUUAUUUCUAAUUGUUUGUGUUUUGGAAAUAUUAUUAGAAAAGCAAAGCUUUAAAUAUUUUAUAAGAAGGAAAUCAAUGGAAAGAAAGGGGUAGGUACAGUGAAGUUUCUAAAGCAUAAGGUUUCUAAGAAAGUUCGAUUGGUUAUGUGGCAAUCUAAAACUCUUAAGAUCUGUGCUAAUCAUCUGAUUAUUGCGGGUAUGAUGUUUCAAGAGCAUGUCGGGUAUAAAAAAUCUUGUAUGUGGGUUGCUAGUGAUUAUGCUGAUGGAGAGUUGAAGGAGGAGAUGUUCUGUAUUCAAUUCGCACUGAUUGAGAGUGAGCAAAUUUGCUUUAAAUUAAAUAUUUAUUAUCUAUGUUGCUGGUCCAAUAUCCUUGUGUUUUUGCAAUUUGCCAUUUAAACAAAUUUUAGGGUUAUCUUUGAGUUUGUUGUCCAAUUUUUUGAUUAAUUUGGUUUCCAUUGUGAAUUGCUAAUUGAUUUUAAUCUCGAAUUUUUGCGUGAAGAACCCCAAACAUUGAAUUUGUUGCCCUUUUGCUAAAUUUGAUCUUAAAAUUUGCUUAAUUCUUCAAGUCUAUUUGUGAAUUUCAUUCAACCCAUACAAUUUGCUGAAUUUCCUCAUCCUUAAAGAAGGUUUUUCUCAUUAAUCUUUUAGUUUUGCUAAUUUCCCCUUUUAAUUUUGCUUAAUUUUUAUCUACUUUGCUACAGUCCAAACGAUUUAACGAAUGCUUUGGGUUUUGUCAAUUUCUCAUUACUAUGUGUUUACUUAUUUCGUCAAAUUUGAUUCUGUUUUGCCUUAUUAAUCUGGUUUUUUAUUUCUAUUUAAUCAAUCAUUGGAGCUAUAAUUCCAUUAUAUGUUGUCUAUAUACAAACAUCACUUGAAGAACUCCCUGUCAAAAAGAAGAGGCCGAGAAAAAGACAUUGAUCAGGUUUUUGGUCUGUAUACUUGUAUAGAGAACUCAGGUAUAUGUAAUAUCAGAUUGCCAGUAUAUGCUCCAUGUAGAUACCCUUGAGAAAGUGAGAAACAUUCCAAUGAUGCGUUUGUAGCUGAUUGUAUGUCUGGUUUUCUAUCACAAGAAAGAGAAUCUACGUGAGUGUGGCUACUACGUCAUGCGUUAUAUGUACAAAAUACUUGAACAUCAUCAUAGCAGUAAGGAUCUUAUUAAGGAUUUUUCAUGAACUACACCGUAUACUGAGGAGGAGAUAAAUAAGAUUCGAGAUAUUUGGGCAGAGUAUUUUAUAUGUAAUGUUGAACUUUAGAUUUACACUUAGCAAAUGUUGGACUCUUAUUUUGGAUUAUAGGCUGGAUAUGAAUGAAUUUGGUUAAUUGGUGUUGGGAUGAUGAGUAUAAUGUCAAUGAUAUUGAGAUGUAAACUUAUUGGACAGGUUGUUAAUAUAUAUGCCGUCACUCCCAAUUUUAUGGGUAGGCCAAAAUACAAAGGAAACUCUGCCGAAA